GAGAGAGAGAGAGAGAGGGAGACGGGUUUGAGCCUUGGACACUGGACUAAAAGAAUCGGGCCCAAAUAAGUGGGCCGAACUGAAAUGUAUUUUCAUAAAAUCACAAUGAAGGAAAAGGGUCAAGUUGUUAUCAUCAGGAAUCAAAUUUUAGUUCAAAGCCUCCAACGAGACGAAGCCCGUUUAAACUGUGACUGACAAAAACACUGAAAAUUUUUGUAUGCACGACGUGUAUUUACACGAUACGAUCUUAACCGUUUAUAACAAUUCAUAUGUUUGAUCACCAUAUUUCUAUAUUAUUUCAUCUAAUCAUAACCAUUCAUAUAUGUAUGUAAAAAUACACGCCGUGUACUGAAUAUGUUCUUAAAAAACACCGAUCAAUAAUAGUAAACCGGGUAUGGUCAAGAAUAUAUGAAGAAUCAAAGACCUUCAAAUAUGGAGAGAAUGCGGCACAUGGAGUUUUUAAACACCUUAAUGAUUGACCUUAAACCAUGUGCAUGCCUCUAAUUAGUUAAUUCUUAAUUGAAUUCCAUGCAUUGCCGAAUGGCAAAGAAAUUAGAAUGAAAUCAAUAAAACCCAUGCUACAUAUCUAAUUAUCUAUAUAUUGUGAACUCGAAACUCGAAUCCUAUAUAUUAUAAUAUCCUAUGCAAUUAGACCAACUUUAUAUUGAAUCAAAUUGAGACCAUACGUAUACAUGUUGUAGCGCUGUAUGGCAAAAGUCAUAAGUGUCACAUUAGCUAGGGUGGAAGUUAAUUAAACAAACAAAUGAAAAUGGUGCAUAUGCAAAGUUGUGCAAUGAGAAUUCUUCUUGUUUAAUUUCUGGUAAUGGCCAUUUUGUCGGGCAAAUGAUUAAAGCAUGUCAAAGGCAUACUCACUCUUGCCACUUGCGAACAUUUCAUAUAUUUCAACUUACUUACUACAAGUGACAAUUCACAAUUCCACUUAAUCUUCAUCAUUCAAAUGACAGACAUAACCAAAGACAUUAAUUCCGUUUUUCAUUUAUUGAAACUUAAUUUUGAUAUGAAGAAAGACAAUUCCACUUAAUCUUCAUCAUUCAAAUGACAGACAUAACCAAAGACAUUAAUUCCGUUUUUCAUUUAUUGAAGAGAAAUUUUAAAUACACACCCCUAAUAUCUUAAUACACAUCAUUUACUUAAUACACCACCUAUCAAAUUUUUCAUUUCAGUAUUAUACUUAAUACACAUCCCAAACUGCUUAAAAUGUCCUUAAUUUAUGAAAUAUUUCGUUAUUUAAUAUAAUUAAUAUAUAUUUACUAUUUGGUAUCUCUUUUUACAUAUUAUUUCGUCUAAUUUUUGCUAUCAUCGUUCAAUUUAUAAUCAAAUGAUUAUUGUUAUAUCCCAACUCUAAAUCACCAAUACAAGUUUUCAAAAUUCACAAGCUAGUACAACUGUAGAAGUACAGUAGCUAUUAAACAUAGAUAGCUAGUUAUUCGAUAAAACAUGUCAUGAUAAAGAUGUAGUACUUAACAAUAUGAUCUACAUGAUCAAAUUAAAGCUGAUAAAGAUACAGUAUUUGAAAAUAUGAUCUGUAAGAUCAAACUAAAGCUGAUACGGAUACAAAAAAAAUAAAUAUAUAUAUAUAUAUAUACAACCCAAAUGAAUUGUGGAGAAGAAUUGAGGUUAAGGGAGAAGACGUGCUUUCAACGAUUUUAGGGUAGAAGAUGUUGGAAAUAAUACUUCUAGUGCGAUUUUUUUUUUUAAUAAUAGAUAUAUGUUUUGGUCAUUUAGCUUACCUAUAAAAUCUCAAUAGAAACAUAAAAUAAUAGGGGUGUGUAUUAAGAGAUUAGAGGUGUGUAUUUAAAAUUUCUCUUUAUUGAAACUUAAUUUUGAUAUGAAGAAAGUAUCGACUGGUAACGUGACGAUAUAUAGUAACUGAUCUAUGUAUAGAUAUACAAUUAUUCAUAUACAGAGUGAAACUUCGUUUUUGAAAUUAAAGUGCGAAGUUUUUUAUUUUACUCAUUUUCAGUAGCAUUUCAUAGUAACAACAGCAGAAUAAAUGAAUGAAAUAUAAAUCGAUCGAAUGACUCAAAUGGCGCAACAAAUUCAAGAUUAAAAAAAUUGGUUCAUUUUCAAUAGUCACGGGUAUAGAUGUAUGUCUCUCAGUCUUUGUCCAGUUUUUGUUGUCCUUGCAAAAAUCCAACGCAGUGUGAAAUGUCAAUGGGGGGAAAAAUUAAAGGUGGACACCAAGCUAGGGCACGCAGUCAAGUAGUCUCUCUCUCUCUCUCUCUCUCUUAACAUCUACAAUACUAUAGGACAUGCAUAUCAUUAGGACCACCUGUAUUUUCUGGGUCCAAGCUCCUCCGACCCGGCCGUCCUUGAUUACCAACAACGAUAUAUGAUCGUAUCCUCCAUAUAUAGCUUCACUCUCGCAGUACAAACGUUUCUGCUUGGCCUUUGGGGAGACUUGGACAAACCUCCUCGUGUUUUGUUUGAUUUCGGUAAAGAGCCGACAAUCACUCCCUACCUGAUUGAGGACCUGUGAUCAUCAAUCAUGCUUGAUCGAUCGAUCUGAACCCCACCACUGUCCUCGAUUUUAUCUCAUUGUUUAAUUCUGGGUUGAGAUACUUGUGGUUUUUUCUGGUAUAUGCAAUUAUAAUCUACAUUAUCAUCAGAGUUCGGUAUGAUCCUAACAUAAUGAUUAAAGAGAUAGAUAUGGAUGUAAGGAUUAUGAGUGGGAUGGAAUGAUGGAUCAAGUGUAAUUAUGAUGAGUAUCGGAGAUCAGUAUUACUGUUUUAUAGAUCGAUUGAUGACAAUGAUUUUUCUUCAGUUCCUUUGUUUUAAUACAUCCCAUAUACGAGAUCGACGUUUUAUUUGUUUUAUUAAUCCUGAAAAGAUCGAUGAUGCAUCAUAUGAUUAUUAAUUGUAAGAAUAUUGGUGGAAAAAUAGAACUUCAUUUAAUCUUCCGGAAACUCUACAAUAUAUAUUUAAAGGAUAUCAUUCGCGGUGUUUUGCCUGAAAAUUUCUUGCAUUCGAGAUAAAGGCUGGAUAAGAAACUUAACAAAGAAGGAUGAGAUCGAUCUUCCUUUCUCAGUUUUGCAGUAGCCAGAUAUAUAGGACAAAGGAUUGUCGUCCCCAUUGUUACGAGCAAAAUCCACAAAAAAACAAGUGAUGAGCUAGAUGUGAUGUGGUUGCUGUUUUCAAACCUAGAUAGAUUUGAGUCUGAACCUAGAUAUAUAACUGAGAGUAGUUUCAACUUUCAAACUACAAGCCACCCCUAGACAGAAAUUAAGUUGUUGACAAAUUACGUAUGAAUGUGGUUGUUGAAAAGGCUACCAGGAUGCCAAUUGCGAAAGUCCCAUUCCCAAGCUAGCUAGCUGCAAAGAAUUCAUGGCAGAUUUAAAUGGUGCUCAAGAUCAAGGUGUAUAAGACUCUGUGCUGCAUGUAUUAAACAAAGAGGAGAGACCAGGGGAGUUGAAUUCUUUAUCCAUCCCAAACCAUCAAGGCAUUCAUGUUUCCAUGACCCCAAAUUGGUCAAAAGAUAUUCCCAAUUAAACCCCGGCCCUUGAUCAGGGUAUGGUAACUGUGGUUGAUAGAUAGAGCAAGUCAGCAAGGCACAUCUCCCUCUCAGAAGCUAAUACCUUUUAUUUUCUUUUGUUUUCUUCCCAUCAUCACUUACUUGCUCUUAACUCUUCAAAUUGAUUGUGUCAACCACCUUGGUUGGUUGGUUAGUUGCACUAUGAAGUUGGAUAAGUUAAGGAGAUUUUAUCAUCUUCUUCUUAAAUAAGUGUAUACAGGUUAAAUGUAUUAUUUCACAUCAUGUUCGUGUUAUAUGUAUUAGAGUUUUUUUUCUAAUGGUUUAUGUUAUUAGAUUCUCAAUUUAAACAAUUACAUGUACAUACGGUUUAUUAUUAUUUUAAAAUACUUGAGGAACCACUAUGCAUGAUACCAUAAUAAAUAAUGGAUAAGCGUUAUGUAGCACCGGUGAAAUAUCACUUAUGUAGCAUUAUCCGCGAGUCCACAACAAUCUCAUUCGGAAUUUGAAAAACUUGAGAGGAGAAAGGUAUAGAGCUGCCCAAUUUGGAGGCCGGGUUCGAUCUAGACCCCAAUAGAGCACGCUUGGAAAAUACAACGCAGUUCCCGGGGAUGGUCUCAGGCGUGAGAGCAAAGGCUGGCAAAACCCCACCGGCAGCCCUAAACCCCAUAUGUCCCAGCCACUAAGUUUUUACUUUUCUGCACUCCUAAACUUACCAUGCACUUCUUUUAACCAGCUCCAUACAGAAUCUCAUAAUUACCACAUUAUAAAACCACACCCACAGAAGCUUCCCUUUCGCUUUGAAUUUGAAUUUCCCCAUUUUUUGACGAACUGGGUUGUCAAGGCUUGGACCAUUUGGUGUGGCAUUAUAUAUAAAUAAAACCAUACUUUGGUCAUUAAGCUUCGAUUAGAUAAUUUGUCUCCUGGUGUAAGCACAAAAGUCAUUAUCCCAAUGAGCACCAAACUCUGUGCAAACCUGCUUGAUUAGUAGUGCCUAAGAUGAAAUUAGGGUUUACAGAGCUAGAGUACAAGAAGAUAAUAAUCAAAACUAGAAGGUUGUCGUUUUACUAGUUUUAAUUUCAGAGCUUUUUUAGAUGCAUUCUCCCUUUCUUCUUCGUCUAGCUAGCUAGUAUCCAAGUAAUCCAACUGUCCAUUCUCUUUCUAUUCUUCUAUUCUAUCCCCUCCUAUAUACCUCGAUCAAACUUCUAUAAGAGAUUCCACUUCGCUUUGUCCCCUUUACCAUUUUCAAAACUAGAAUAUAUAGUACAAUAUAUAAAACGAUGAUAUUUUACAUAAUUUUUAAUUGUCAAGAUUAAUUACUAGCUAAUACGAUCGAGAUUAAUUACAUACACGAUUCACAGAACUGAAUUCCACAUUUUGAUAACAGACCCCAACUGUAAAUAACAAUUAAAGGCCAUUCAUCAUUCCGUUUUGAUCAAUUCUGAAGUACACGCAAAAGGAUCGAGUCUCAUGUGCAAAUUAAACCCUGGCUGUGCUAGCUGACCGUGGUCCAAACGUAUGAUUGUUCUUAACAUUUCCCAGACUUUCAUUAUAAGAACUGCAAAAAAUACCCAUAUAGGUGGAGCUUUUGCGCAGAAAUGAUCAUGAGAAACAAAACUAGGGUUCAGUUUGUUCAGAUAUAUAUAUAUAUAUAUAUAUAUAUAGCUCGAUCGUUUGUCUCAUUGCAAAACUUAUUAAACCUCACCAAGAACUGUACGAAGGGGAGUUAUUGUUUCUUGAAUUUCAAGGAGCAACAAAUUUAACCCAUUCAGCGAUUCAGGGUUAAGAUGUCAGAGCAAGGUCUUUAUUAGAAAAUGACUGGACUUGAAUUAGACUUAAUCAGACACUCGCCCACAGGGUGUCUAUUUUCAAAUGAAUGCAAAUAAAAGCUAGCUGUGUCACUGAAACUAAAUUGAGUUUCUGAGUGGCCUUCUCAUUAUGAGCAACAUUCAAACUUCAAGAGCAAAAAAGGGAGACCUAUCUGCCUUUUCUUUCUACAGAACAUCAUUGCAGUGUGGUUUUGUAUGACUCUCCAUCUUGUGGUCUGAAGAUCGAAAGAGAGAAAGAACACAUAUAUACAAUGAAAAACUGAAUAUAUACUACAUUAUACAAUAGAUUUUCUUUCUGUUUAUUAGUUAGAAGAAACAUUUCAUUAAGAAACAAAAAUGUUACAAGCAUGUAACCAAAAAAUAAAUAAAAAAUUUACAAGCAUUAAAAUGACUUAUUACGUACGGCCUUGACACUACAACGCACAUUCGCGAGAUCAUAAAAUAGAGAUAUUUCAGAUGACUUUUCUCUUUUGUUUUAGCGUAUAUAGCUAGCUAGCUUUAUUUUUAUAUUUGCAUGUUUCAGCAUCAACAGAUUUUUGGUCCUAGAGGAUCCUUUGUUUCUUUGUUGUGCUAGGUCAUUAAUUUCUAUGGAAACAACCAAAGAAGGAGAAAACUUUAUGAGAAAAAUAACAAAAAAUCUUUAAUAAGAAUCUCAUCGAAUCGAAAGACAAUGACAUAAAAAUUCUAAAACAUGACUCGAGAUUUCGAUAAUUUAAAUGCAAUUUUGACGUAAUUACUGAAACAUAUAGUAUUUUUUAUAUACGUAAUAUAUAUAUAUAUAUAUACUGUAUCUGUUCAGUACCAUUUAGUCUAGUGACAUCAAUCUUUCGUCUGUAAGUGAGAGGUCGUUAUUGAGUUCGACUCACAAUAUUGAUUCGUUAUAGUAUUUUUCAGUUAUUUGUUUAAUUAAAAAAAAAUACAUUUGAUAAAGAAUGCAUGAAAAUGAAAUAUGGAUCGACCCAUUGUGUGAAGGGCAAAGAUCACAUCACAACCGCAAAAUCAAAACCCAAUAUUAGGGUUUGAAACCUCUCCGUACAAAAUCUAUCCCUAAUUAACCAGAGCAAUCAUAUUGAUCCAAUCAACUCUCUCUAUGACCCAAAGGAUAACAAAACCCCAAAAGACCAUAAUCACCAUGCAACAGUAGUACCCAGCUGGGACGCCUCUCUCUUGACUUCACUCCACCCUCCAUUGAUGGGCUUUGUUUUUUGUUCGAGUCCUCUCCCCUAGCCUUGAAGGAAGAGAAGGGCAUUCCCGUCAUUCCCUCUACCCCUCUACGUAUCCAUGAGUUAGAAAGUCGAAUACACCCAUUUAAUAAACCCCCGCCAUAUCCCUCUCCUCCUCCUCCUCCAUUUCCAUUCCUUUCUUUUCUCCCCAGACUGACUGACUGAGAAAGAAGAAAGAACGACCACAUUCAUCGGAAAACGGGGUCGUAUUGAAGUGAAUGGCGAGCGGAUGGGUCAAGUCGUUGCAGUGCAAGUCUAGGGCAUUCGAUGACGUGUAUCACCCCAGCCCCAAAACAACGCUGAUGAACAGCGUCAGCUGCAGAAAGAGCUUUCAGAACAUCAAAGACGUCGUCGUCGACACAGCAGCCGCCAAGCACCACCACGAUAAGCCCACAAAAUCCAAGCCGCCUCCGUCGAAAAGACACGGGAAGCCAGAACCCGCUUUUCCGAGCCCAGCACCUCGUACCCGGCCGCCCCGAACCCACGACCCGUUUCUGACUGAGCUCCCCGAGGGCCACCCGUCGCGCAAUGUCGUAGAGAUUAUCUUCCACACCAGCUGGAGCCCCAAGGCGUUUUCGGGUCGGAUCGAGAUGAUAUUCAAGGUCCAGAACGGCUCCAAGACGGUGGCGCGGUUCGAGGAGUAUAGGGAAGUCGUCAAGUCUCGUUCCCGGGCCGGGUCGGACGCUGGAUCCCGGAAAGUGGGAUCCGAGUUCGAGGAGGAGAAUGCGCGGUGCGUCGCCGACGGAAACGAGGUCAUGCGUUUCCACUGCCUGGGGACACCAUCUGGCACUGGGGUUCACGACGCGUUCGGUGGCGCGUGGGGCUUCCACAGAGGCAAAGGCUCCGCCAUUUGCACGUUUUCCGGUAGCGGUGUGGCCCACGAGAAUGCGGGCGGGGCGAGGGGCAGGAGAGCCAUGCUGGUUUGCCGGGUCGUUGCGGGUCGGGUCUCGAAGCAGCUGGAGCUCCAAUCGUUGCUGGAUGGCCGGCUUGGGUUUGACUCAGUGAGUGGAGACAACGGGGAGUUGCUAGUGUUUGAUCCACGCGCCGUCUUGCCGUGCUUUCUUAUCAUCUAUAAAUUGUAAAAAUACCAAUGCUCCUUUUUUCUUUUUUUUAUUCGUCUCUUUUAUAUAUUUUGCUUUCUUUGUUGGGGUUGAGCAACCUUUUUUUUCUUGCAUUUAUCACCUCAAUUUUUUCUUUUUUUUCUUGUUUCUGGGUUUGGAGUGAUUAUGGAAAAAUUGAGUUGAUAAAUGCUUAAUUAACCAAUUCUCUAUUUUAUUAUCUGUGAAUGAAUGCAAAUUACCGUUUUAAUGAAUGUAAGUAAUGGAUUUUUAUGAUGGUUUUCAAAAUUUCACAAACGUCCACAUGAAGUCAUAGAGAAUCAUUUUAGUAGUACCUAAUGUUUAGAGUACAGGUGGUUCAUGUUUAUAAUUGGAGCUAUGAUGCUAGCAAAAGGGUGAGAAAGUUUGAAAUCUAAGUAAGCUACAUAUUGUCUUCUAGCAAUCACCAACAAACAUAAUAAUGAUAAUUAUGGUGUGGUGAGCAUGUUUAACACUCUUAACAGUGGCAGAAGGUGGUUUGGAAAUGAUCGAGAUACGUACAUAUAUGGGAGUUUCAUACUUUCAUUUUCAUGUUUGAUUCGUAUACUUUGUGAAUAAUACAUAUCGUCGGUUUCCAUUUUGCAUUGCAUAUAUUGAGCCAUUGAUUUCAGUUUCAUUCAACCUUGAAAUGUUUGAUGAUAUGAACUGUUCAAGAACUAGGCACAUCAAAGUUCCCAGCUAUCACAUACUACACCUGUUUUUGCAUUUCCGUAUUAAGUUUUCCUAAUUUAGUGUGACUAGUAAGAAAUUGGCAUAGACCAAGUUAACUUCUUGACAAUGGGGUUCCAACAACAAAUACAAUAUACUUGAAAUUUACGUUAACAGAACAAUAGUAAUUCACAAUGACUUUCGAUUAAUAUAAUGACAUAAUUUUUCUAGGUGUGAUCGAGCUUAAAGCUCUUCCCGAUCACCCCCAAUGAAUUUCAUGUUCGACUAUAGCAGUAGAGGUUGUCUUUCGUAUUAUCUUUCUGAGGCAGUUGGGCUGCGCCAGCAAAAAGCAGAUGUCUCCCAUCACAUCAAAAUAUGAAUUUGCAGUAGACGAUUUUCAGUGACAUUUCACAAUCUAUAUAUUGAUUCUGAGUUGCACACCCAGUACUGGUUUUAAUUCUGAGAGUCUUGCAUACUGGCUACUACUUCCAUCUACAACAACGCACUAGUAAAGUCUUCUCCAAUUAAUUUCCUUACCAACAUCGAGCUAGCUGUGGUAAAAUAUGUUUUACACAAUACAGAGAAUCCAUAAGCAUUCUACUGUCAUACUAUAAUGUCACAAAUCCCGGAUGCCCCUUUUGUGAUGGAAAUGUUGUGUAUAAACAACUGCCUGCAAACCCUAAACAUCUCUGUUGAUAUUCGACUGAAAAAGAUCGAUAAUAUGAAUGAAAAGCCCUGAAUCGCCUCAGACCCCGGAUACUAUCGGGUCUGCCAGUUGAGGGUUGGAGCAUGAAAAGCCAAGCAAUUGAAAAUCGUUUUAGUGCUUUUCUCCAGUAGUACAGGAUUAGUUUAGUCGCUGGCUGUUAGAUACCACAUUAAAUUUCUGUUGUAGAAGUUUAAAAAGUUUUAAGAUAGUUAGAAGUAGGAGAGUCGCUCUCAGCUAGCUGCCCAGGUUUUUGGUUUAAGUUUGAGAAAAUACAGCACAAGUCACGCAAUUGCUGCCACAAGACCUUUACUUGUCUUGGAAGAAAAUAAAAGUUUGAUUAAUGUGGUGAAUGGUCUCAAUCUAUGACGGGAGGCUUAUGCCCCAUAAAUUCAAUUCCGAUUACCAGAAACUCUUGCCAUAUCUAGAUACACCAGAAAGAAAAGGAAAGGAAAACUCUCUAGGAAGUAAGACCAAUUAAAGGAAAAGAAAAUUUGUCUUGAAAUAACUGGAUUUUGGAAAGUUCCAAGGAGAACGAAAAGCGGAUUCUAUGAGCUUAAAAUGAACUCCUUACCUGUUACCAAUAAACAUAGCACCCAUCUCUUUCUUCCCAACCCUAAUUGAAGUUUACAACACAGACACCUACCUCUUCCUCUCACUAUCUAGUUAACAAAAACUGUUCGUUUUCAUUUCUUACGAUCAAUGAAGCAACAAAUCAUCGCGUACAAUGAUCAUACAAACUAGCAUUACAACGCCUCUGUAUACAUGAUCUGUUUUGGAAACCAGAAUCACAGAAUUAGGCAGUUCAGGAGCCUGCACAUUACGGACUUGCCAGUUAUACUCGACUCUAUUUUUUGUUUCGAGUAGCCCAACUUUUAAUGUAAAAAUAAAGUAAUAAACUAAGCCUCGAUGAAGAUUUUCGUGCUAGUACUUAAGGUGAAGGUGAUAUGUCCCUCUCGCUGUAUAAUCAUCUUUCUAUUAUGAAUAAUAUUUGGGCACAAGGCUGAGCCUCCUAGCUAGGCUAGUUCCAAACCCUUAAAAAAAAAAACAGAACUAAGCCAAUGAAAAAUGAUUUAAAAAAAAGAAGGUUAAAACACCAAAUUUAUGUGAAAUAAAUUAGCGAACGAUCUGCAUCAACUACAAACAUUAUACUUGUCAUGUUCAUGUUUAGAAACCAUUGUGUGAUCAAGACAUUGUAGAAGCUAAGACACUGUUGAUUACACAAAAUAAUAUAUAACUUUUGGAUUAAGAUUCAGAUUUUGACACUGGGUUAUGUCAUGAACGCAGAUAAAGUAUCAAAUAUCAGUAUCAGAGCUUAGGCAGUCGGAACCCCCAACUCAAGUUCAGCUUGAAUUUCAGAGGCUGUUUUAACUUUCUGGGAUUUCAAGUCAGACACUCAACCAAUAAAGGUCAGGGUUCGGUGAUUGGAUGAAAUGUUCAUAAUGGUCAAUUAUUCAGGGUUCACAAGACAGACAUUCUCCAGAACCUGAUUAUCCAAAUAAUCAUAAAUCAUCCUUGAUCCUACCAUCCAUGAAAGCUCUCAUCUUGGCACUGUUUUGAGUGCCAGAAUCACCAAGGCACCAUCACUAAAUAUAAAUUCAGUUCUAGGAAAGAAGAAAAAAUGAGACCUACUGCAUUUCUUGAAUCAAGAGCGCUUUCCAUAAUCCAAUGCUCUAUGCGACUAGUACUAAGUAAAAUGAAGGGUCUCAACAACCAUGUUUUUUAGAGACUUGGAAAAUGAAAGAAACAGGAAAUGAGAUAGAAUGGGAUUGGGUAGAUAAAAUCCGAUUCCGGAGAUGAGAGUACCCGGUGAUGUGCCUCUAAUGUACAUUUUUGUCAUGCAGCAUCAUCAUCUCAUGUGACGAAUCUAGUCCUGCCAGAAUUUAGUGGGAUUCCACUAGUACAUACAAUGGUUUGCCAUUCAAUCGCUCACGACCCUGCAACACCAGAAACACAAGUCACUGACACUGCUGGCACACAAAAACAUAGCAAUGAAGAAGAUACUUGGUCAUAUAACAGCGAAAAGCCAAGACCAAAAAAAACAACACACCUGUAAAUCUGGCAACUCAAUAAGGCAGGCACAUUCAACUACUUCUGCUCCAACACGUUCUGAGAUAAAACAUUUUAAUCUUCGCUAAGAGUUACUACCAUCGACAAAUCAAGCAAGUUUAAAAGAUAAGGUAAUAGAUGAAACCAUGCCAGAACAGUAAAAUACACAAAAACAGAGCAAUUAUUUAAUAUGUGUUACACAGUUUAGAAGGUCACUUUAUUCUAACUGGACAACUAAUCCAUCAAACAACAAAGUGCUAAUAAUAGUUAUGCAUUUUAAGACACAGUCGAUCAUAAAAUAAAAAUGCAUGCAUAAUGCAGCAUUCUUUGAACGUGCGCAAUCUUAGAUAUGACUUUUGGAUCGAUCACUUAUCAGAUAUAAAUGCAAUAGAGGCUUUAUUUAUAACCAGGAGAAAACAAAAACAAAAACAAAAAAAAAUACUUCUGUUUAAGAAAAAGUUGUUGAAAAUUUUUAAAUAAUUGCUUACCCAACAAACUCAUUGCAGCACAGAGCGUGCCUCCAGUGGCUAUUAAAUCAUCAACCACAAGAGCACGGUCACCCUGUUCUACUGCUCCGACAUGCAUCUCAAGACGGUCCCUUCCAUAUUCCAACGUGUACUCUUCAAAAAGUACAUCACCUGCCACAAAAAAGCCACACUUUUAUAUAUAUUGAGAGGAAAAAACAUAAGACUUAUAUGAGACUCCUAAUGUGGUCUUAUGGCACAUAAGUGAUGACAUAACUGCAUAUCAGAUUUCCAUAUUAGAACACCAUAUAUAUAUAUAUAUAUAUAUAUUUGUAUGUAUAAGAUUAGUAAUUUUCAAGAGUAUCAUGAUCCAAUUGAGUGGUAUAAAGAAGCUUGGCAGUUCACUGGAGCAAGAAUACCUAGAUCGUCCUUGACCACUUAAAAGAAACAUCUUAAAAUAUAUACAAGCAGCAAAUAUACAGACAAAGACCAGAGAACAGGAAUAGACCAUAGCGCUACAAUGAAACAACAUAAAUCAUCCAGGCUUCUGACUUGCUUCAUAUCAGGUAAACUACAAACACUAUUGAGCUCAUCUUGCAUCAAAGGACCAAUUCAUUGGCAUUAUGGCCACAUCCACUUGUAUACUCGGUAAGAAAGGGUAAACUCUUGUAUCUUAUGAAUGAUAGGCAAGAGCAAGUUAACCGAGCAGAAGUAUUUUGCACUUGAUCACAAAUUGCUUAGGAUCUAUAUAUCAGCAAGGAGCAUCUGAAAGGCAUACAAGUGCACCAUUUCAAGAUCAUCAACAGCUUUAUAUUGACAAACGACAGAACAAUUGCUUCCUAUAUGAACUCAAUCGUACAGACAUUAUGUUCAUACAAACAUACCAAGAGGUGUGAUAGUAAAAUUAAAACUCACCAGGCAAUUUCCUUGGUUUUCUCAGGGGAACAAACUUUGCUCCAAUUGCCAAUGCAAUGGGAGGACCAAAAAUGAAACCUCGAGCCUCAAUUCCUGGAAUAAACAAGAACCACAAUUUGAGAAUGCUGAAUGGGGUACAGCAAAUGUUUUUGGCAAUACAUAUACUUGAGACUUCAAACAACACAUAUAAGUGAUACAUCAGACAGACCUUCUAAUUUUGAUGCUCACAAACAUGAAUUACUGAUAAAUAUAAACAGAAAAGAUCAUUCAGGAAGUUAAGGUCAUCACUGAAUGAUAGUAGCACACUGAUAGCAGGGUUCAAUUUUCAAAACCAAUACAAUGUGGCAAAAAAGCUAAAAGUUAGAAUGCUGAAAAAGGUUUAUCCCAAUAACUCUAAAAAGGUCCUGAAGCAUAAUUACAAUGUUAAUCAUGUGAGCAGACCAGUAAAACUUCACCAGCAAAGUAAGUCAAGAUGUAUCAUCCGCCUAUUGAUUGCAGGCAAAGGAAAAAACGAAUGUCACUUUAAACAUGCAAAUCAGGUUAAAAAAGAAAAUACACAGUUACUGCAUCCCUCUCACAGAUUUUAUUAGUGUCUCCUACGAUACAAUUAUCUCUGGACGGUGGUCCAACCAUAUUGAGGUCCCCAACAAUGUAUACAUCUUUACCAUCAAAUUUCAAGUUUCCACUACAAUACGAUGAACUCUAUACUGCCAUAUUCAGGUCCCUUACUCGAAAGAAGAAGUAAAAGAGAGGAUAGUAAAAGAGAGGAUUAAAGUUCCACUAGGAUCUAUUCUCAGUCCCCUGGCUCAAGAGAAACAGUUUUCAAGGAUACUACCCAACAAGUACAAAACUACAGAAGAAAAGCAAAAUGAAAAGGCAUUUUGAACAGAAUCCCAGUGCAAAAACAACACGGAUCAUGAAUUGUUUCCAAGACAAAUCUGGAGGAAAAAGGUCGUUAACAUAUACAAGUUCUACUCUUCAAAAUUUGGGCAAGUAAUUGCUUUUACGUCAAACUACCAAGAUUUGAUUUCAAUUUGACCAAGGAUAACAAAUGUAAACGAAAACUGAUUCUUGAGGUCGCAAAAUAGAGAAUAAACUUUAUUCAACGAUAUAUGCUAUUAUCUUUCCAAGAGGAAACAUCAUAUCUAAUAUUCUAAUCCAUGUAAAGGAAUAAUUUGCAGGAGAUUCCAAACUAGGUAAAAAGGCUUUCAUUAACACAUAAAGACAGCAAAAGUACACAUAAGCGCACAAUUAGAUGGAUCCUAGUGUACAUACAUCAGGAAAAAACAUCCAUAAACAAACUAGAACUAAAUCAUUAAAAAAUUUAAUAUAAUAACUUAGAAUCAAGGCCCAUCUGUAAUGAGAGCACAUUAGAUUUUAAGCUCUGUAGGACCUUGAGGCCUUUAGUAGUAUUUUCCAAUACCUGCUAUAAGCCAUAAAUGCAAAGGAAAGCACGCGUGAUAUAAACAAAUAUUUAACAGAGUCAAUUACGAUCACAUUCUACUCAAGUUUUCUUCAUAAUCAUCACAAAUGUAAUACUUCUCAAGAUUUAAGAUGUUAUCUACAAACACUAUAGUUAUCUUCGAAGGGUCAAAAACAAGAAAUAUUGGAACCUUGUUAUAGUAGAGUCACUAAGUUAUAAUAAUGAACUCCAACAAUCAACAGCAACUCAAGGAAAUAAAGUAAGGGGAGAGCAGCACAGAGAUAAAUAAACAAGGGUCAUCCAACAGCAAAGUUGGAAAGCCAAUUUAUAAUGAAGCCAAAAAUUUGGCCCAAUUCAAAUUGAGGGUCCACUUUUAACAAGGUGGGCAUCGAGCACCAACCACCAUCCGCGCAAAUUGGACAAUGCACAUGCCCUCAAGCGAGAAGAAGAAUAAGAGAGAGAGAGAGAGAGAGAGAGAGAGAGAGAGAGAGAGAGAGAGAGAGAGAGAGAGAGAGAGAGAGAGAGAGAGAGAGAGAGAGAGNNNNNNNNNNNNNNNNNNNNGAGAGAGAGAGAGAGACCAAAUGAGAGGAGGUGAAGAAAUAUAAAAGGAGCUUAAAGAAAAAAAGAAAAAAAGAACUUGAAAGAGAGCUAUCAUCAGUGGCAAAACCCACUAACAGAGCUUACAGUCAAACAAAAAAUCACUCUCCCAAAACCCAGUGUGACUUCCAUUCCAUAAUGUCCCUUAUGACUGUUCAAAAGGACAGCAAGAACUCAAUCAAAAAAAGAAAAGAAAAAACAGACAGCAAGAAACUUAUGCAAUAUAUCAUAUUUCUGCAUCAUUCAAACCUACUUUUCUCGUAAUCAUGGACCCCGCCACCUUCAACUAAUCACUGUUAUAGAAAGUGGCUCAAAAGCUUGGGACUUUAGCUCAAAAUCUUUCACCC
rnacentral:lncRNA from 1 species